UACGGAGGGAGCUAGCGUUGUUCGGAAUUACUGGGCGUAAAGCGCACGUAGGCGGCUUUGUAAGUUAGAGGUGAAAGCCCGGAGCUCAACUCCGGAACUGCCUUUAAGACUGCAUCGCUUGAAUCCAGGAGAGGUGAGUGGAAUUCCGAGUGUAGAGGUGAAAUUCGUAGAUAUUCGGAAGAACACCAGUGGCGAAGGCGGCUCACUGGACUGGUAUUGACGCUGAGGUGCGAAAGCGUGAGGAGCAAACAGG
rnacentral:rRNA from 1 species